AAAUGAAUAGACGGGGGCCCGCACAAGCGGAGGAACAUGUGGUUUAAUUCGAUGAUACGCGAGGAACCUUACCUGGGCUUGAAAUGCAUCUGACCGUUCCCGAGACGGAACUUCUCUUCGGAGCAGAUGUGUAGGUGCUGCAUGGUUGUCGUCAGCUCGUGCCGUGAGGUGUCGGCUUAAGUGCCAUAACGAGCGCAACCCUUGUCGUUAGUUGCUAACAAGUUAAGUUGAGGACUCUAACGAGACUGCCAUCGUAAGAUGUGAGGAAGGUGGGGAUGACGUCAAAUCAGCACGGCCCUUAUGUCCAGGGCGACACACGUGUUACAAUGGGUGGAACAACGGGCAGCUACUGGGCGACCAGAUGCUAAUCUCUAAAAACCACUCUCAGUUCGGAUCGAAGUCUGCAACUCGACUUCGUGAAGCUGGAUUCGCUAGUAAUCGCGCAUCAGCCACGGCGCGGUGAAUACGUUCCCGGGCCUUGUACACACCGCCCGU
rnacentral:rRNA from 1 species